rnacentral:RNase_P_RNA from 1 species
AUAUAUGUAUUAUUAUUAUUUAUUAUAUAUAUAGGAAAGUCAUAAAUAUAUAAAUUAUAUUAUAUUAUAUUAUUAUAUAAAAAACUAACUAACUAAAUAAAUAAAUAUAAUAUAUAAUAUAAUAUAAAUAAAGUAAUUAAUAUAAAUAUAUAAUAUAUUCUUUUUUAGUUAUACUUAUUAUUAUAAUAAAUAAAUUAAUUAGGUAACUUUAUUAAUAAUUAUUAAUAAAAAUAAUAAUAAAAAUAAAGAAUAUAUCUGGAAAUAAAAAGCUUAAUAAAUAUAUUAUUAAUUAAUUAAUUAGCUUCUUUUUAUAAAUAUAAUAAUUUAUAAUAAAAUAUAUCUAUAUAUAAAUUAAAUAUAUUUUAUAUAUAUAAAUAAUAAUUUUAUUAUAAUAUAAUAUAUAUUAAUAAAAAUAAUUAAUAAAUGAGCUACUGUUCUUUUUAUAUUUAAUAAGAUAGAAUAGAAGCUAUUAGUGAAAUAAAUAUUAUAUAUAUUAUUAAUAAAUAAAAAUAAAUAUAUAAUUAAUAAUAUAUAAUUAAUAAUAAAACAAAAAUAUGCUUAAAUAUAUAAUAAUAAUAAUA